CCAAACGAAAUUCCGUAAUGCGAAGAAAUUCUUGGAGAAUGGUAACAAAGUGAAAGCGAGCAUUCGUUUCCGCGGUCGUGCCAUCACUCACUCGGAAAUCGGUAAACGCGUUCUCGAACGCCUCGCAACGGAUUUAAGUGAGUUCGGUGUUGUGGAACAGAGACCGAAGAUGGAAGGACGCAGCAUGUUCCUCGUGCUUGCUCCUAAGAAAGAAGACUAAUCGAAUCGAAGUAGGAGGGAAUCUCUCAUGCCUAAAAUGAAAUCGCACCGCGGUGCUUCUAAACGUUUCAAACGUACUGCUUCUGGCAA
rnacentral:misc_RNA from 1 species